GAUGAACGCUGGCGGCGUGCUUAACACAUGCAAGUCGAACGAAGCACUUAUCUUUGAUUCUUCGGAUGAAGAGGUUUGUGACUGAGUGGCGGACGGGUGAGUAACGCGUGGGUAACCUGCCUCAUACAGGGGGAUAACAGUUAGAAAUGACUGCUAAUACCGCAUAAGACCACGGAGCCGCAUGGCUCAGUGGGAAAAACUCCGGUGGUAUGAGAUGGACCCGCGUCUGAUUAGGUAGUUGGUGGGGUAACGGCCUACCAAGCCAACGAUCAGUAGCCGACCUGAGAGGGUGACCGGCCACAUUGGGACUGAGACACGGCCCAAACUCCUACGGGAGGCAGCAGUGGGGAAUAUUGCACAAUGGGGGAAACCCUGAUGCAGCGACGCCGCGUGAGCGAAGAAGUAUUUCGGUAUAUAAAGCUCUAUCAGCAGGGAAGAAAAUGACGGUACCUGACUAAGAAGCACCGGCUAAAUACGUG
rnacentral:rRNA from 1 species